rnacentral:rRNA from 1 species
AUGUUAGGAUGUAAACCCGCAACCACUCCAAUAGAACAAAAUCAUCGGAUCUUGGCAGAUAGUGGUGAUCCUGUUGAUAGGCAUCAAUAUCAAAGGCUAGUUGGGCGAUUAAUCUAUCUGUCUCAUACAAGACCUGAUAUUGCAUAUGUUGUUAGUAUUGUAAGCACAUACAUGCAUGAUCCUAGAACUAGCCACUUAGAUGCCGUGAACAGAAUUCUAAGAUACUUGAAGAGUUGUCCUGGGAAAGGAAUCUUGUUGUAUAAUCAUGGGCAUCUGAGAAUAGAGGGGUACACCGAUGCAGAUUGGGCUGGAUGCUUAGAUGAUAGACGUUUAACCUCCGGCUAUUGCAUGUUUGUAGUUGGAAAUCUGGUUAGUUGGAGAAGUAAGAAGCAGAGUGUGGUGGCUCGCUCCACAGCAGAAGCGGGGUUUAGAUCAAUGGCUUCAGGGUUGUGUGAACUGAUGUGGCUGAAAACCUUGCUAACUAAGUUGCAGUUGUGUGCUGGUGCACCUAAUCAAGUCUAUUCUGAUAAUCAGACCACAAUUAACAUAAUGAAUAACCCAAUUUAUCAUGAUAGAACUAAACAUAUAGAGAUCAAUAGGCACUUCAUUCGAGAGAAAUUAGACGAAGGGUUAUUCCAAAUUAGUUAUGUUAAGUCUGUAGAUCAGCUGGCAGAUGUAUUGACAAAAGGAAUAUGA